rnacentral:lncRNA from 1 species
CUUUCUUAUCACACAGACCAGCAAAGGACUCCUACAGCUCCAGGACCCAGCUGAAGGUAAGCUGUUGCUUUGUGCAGCCACAAGUUAGUCUCUAUCCCCUGUAAAGUCUCCGUCCCAACCAGGUCAUCAAAAUUGAAAAUUCCGAGCGAGCCCUUAGACGUGGGACCUGCUCUGGGUUCUGAUCACGCCAGCUACCACCAUUCAGAGCUCUGGAAAAUUAUCUGCCCGGAGCCCGUCCAGCUCUGCUUUCUCACUCCACAAACGAAAACCAUUUUAACUGCCCCAAUGCGGCCCCAAAAGCCGUACAGACCACAGGCGAUAUGCAACAGGUGACCUUAGCAGUGGGCUGCGUUUCUAUUUUAAUUACAGUGAACAUAACUACCAUAUCCAACUCAUGAUUUCAUGGCUACCAACGUUUCUUCCCAAAAUAAAUGUGUUUAAGUAUAAAAAAAAUAAAUAUCCACCGUGGCUGGGUCAGUAUAUGGCAUUAAUCUUGAAGGCCCGCGGCCCUGGACUGAGACACCAUCCCAGGGCGUCCCGUUUGGGGCUCUGGGGCUGGUGGGGUGGACUGGUGCGUGCCAUGUCGCUUUCACAAGCGGAUGUACUUUUGCAGAAGCAUAAAACACACAGGACUUAAAAAAAAAAAUAUCCCAGGCUUAGGCUCCAGUGACAGCCUCGCCACUGGCGCCUUGUGACCUCAGGCAUGCCAAUUAACCCCCGCAGCCUUGGUUUCCAGACCUGUAAAAUGGGGAUCAGGGGGCUAUCCCGCGGAUUAAAAGCAGCAAGGCUCCUGAAAGCCCAGGAAACUGUGAACCGCUCCCCAAGGCUCCGUGGCCUGCUUCUCAGUUACGGCCACGCCGCCGGGCCUGUAACCCUGUCCUGGAGUCCCCUCCCCCACCCUCGGGGAUUGGCCGGGGAGCCCGGGCUCUCCAGUGCGCGCAGGCAGGGACGCUGGCUCACACAGGACGCGCGUGCAAAGGGCUGAUUCAGCACUCCCCGGCAGCCUUCCGGCCCGGCCUUUUAAACAUCGGCGAAGAGAAAGUUGUGCAACAGGAACGCACAUCCAGCCCGGCGCGGCUGUUGGGGCUUUUCUUUGCAUCCCCGAGGCGCCCGUGGCAGGGAAACGUCCUUCCGAACGCAUCCUCCACCCCCGGGGCCCGGGACUCACCUGCGGCUCCCCAACUUUGUGACCGACUCCGGGACCCCACGCCGCGCCGAGCGGCCGAAAGUUGGCGGCGCCGCGCUCCCGGC